rnacentral:rRNA from 1 species
AGGAAAGCAGGGGAUCGCAAGACCUUGCGCUUUUGGAGCGGCCGAUGUCUGAUUAGCUAGUUGGUGAGGUAAAGGCUUACCAAGGCUUCGAUCAGUAGCUGGUCUGAGAGGACGACCAGCCACACUGGGACUGAGACACGGCCCAGACUCCUACGGGAGGCAGCAGUGGGGAAUUUUGGACAAUGGGGGAAACCCUGAUCCAGCCAUGCCGCGUGAGUGAAGAAGGCCUUCGGGUUGUAAAGCUCUUUCAGCCGGAACGAAACGGUCACGGUUAAUACCCGUGAUCACUGACGGUACCGGAAGAAGAAGCACCGGCUAACUACGUGCCAGCAGCCGCGGUAAUACGUAGGGUGCGAGCGUUAAUCGGAAUUACUGGGCGUAAAGCGUGCGCAGGCGGUUUUGUAAGUCAGAUGUGAAAUCCCCGGGCUCAACCUGGGAACUGCGUUUGAAACUACAAAGCU